UACAGAGGUCCCCGAGCGUUGUUCGGAUUCAUUGGGCGUAAAGGGUGCGUAGGCGGCGGGGCAAGUCUGAUGUGAAAUCCCGGGGCUCAACCCCGGAACUGCAUUGGAUACUGCCUUGCUUGAGUACUGGAGAGGGAACUGGAAUUUACGGUGUAGCAGUGAAAUGCGUAGAGAUCGUAAGGAAGGCCAGUGGCGAAGGCGAGUUCCUGGACAGUUACUGACGCUGAGGCACGAAAGCUAGGGGAGCAAACAGG
rnacentral:rRNA from 1 species